AUUAAUAAUAAAAUAAAAAUAUUUGAAAUAUAUAUAAUUUCUAAUUUUAAAAAAAUGACAAAAUUAAAUCCACAAUAAUUUUAUAAUAAUUUAUUAUUAAUUGAUUGUAGUUUUUUAUUAAUAGCAAAUAUUUCACACCAAAUGUUACAUUGCAAUAAUUCUAUUUUUAUAAAUAUGCAUAUCUCUCUCUCUAGACUCAUUUUGUCAUAUACGCGCUUUAAAUUUUUUCCGCUGAAAUAUAAUGUGCCCACAUUCAGGCGAUUGAGAGUACAGAGUGUUGAACAAAUCGCCGGAUUAAAUAAGAUAAAAUAAAAUUAAGAAAAGGAAUUGAUGCAUGAACCAUUUAUACAUAUUAAUAAAACGCGGGAUUUACGCGUUCAAUACUGGCUUUCGAUUGUAUAUUUACGCGAUCCAUCUCGAUUAGCUAAUCGAAUCGCGACGUAUCGCGCGAUGCGAAGUGAAGUUAUCGGCAACACUUGCAUCUUAUGGUAGCAUCACGGGGGACGGUUGCGGACGCGGGACGGAUCGUCUGCGAAUCUCGGCGUCGCGAUACGUUUAAUUAGUGAGUAUGGCUGCAAAUAAUCCGAUCGUCGUCGAGCGCGCGGCGUGAGGUCGGCGUACGUUACAUCGUUGACUUCUUGAGACGCGUGAUUUCGCGAGAUUCCUUCGAUCGAAAUGAUCGACCGUGCCGUGGCGAAUGAGCGAAGCACCGCCGUGUCUUCGCGUCCUACAAAUAUUCUUGGCUUAAUUCUAACUUGUGUAUAUGUAUAUGCAUCCAUUCAUGCGCUCAUUAUAAUGUAUCGUAAUAGGAUCGCGGUCACAGGAAGCGGUAAUCGCGACGUUUAAUCCUAGAGCGUGAUUACGCGCUUUUUGUGUCAACAGGUGUGGCGUCGCCGCGGCGAAUGGCAUGAAUUUAGGCGCGCGUCUCGCGAGCGGUUCGCGUCGUUCUCUUCCGCCGUAACGUAAUGAAGUGAGCGUGCGAUUAAAACGGGAAGUGAUCGUGCACGAUUUCGGGGAUGACGGGUAGAAAUACGUCUCGUGUCGAAGCGAUCGUGAUAUCUAGGUGCGUGCGCGAAUUUAAUUUGUCAUAUUGUCGCGGAGGCAGCGUCGCGAACGAAUGUUGGUGUGCGCGUGCAUGUGUGUGUGUUGUGUUAUGAUGCCACGACGAAGAAGCAGCGAGAGAUCGAGGAGGCCUAGGAAGGCAUCUGGUAAUGGCGGAACAACCACGGAUCAAGGAAUACGGUAGUUAUUAUUCCCAUGUUAUUACUUUAUAUGUCAACAUCCGCUGCGCAUCGUAUUGGUGAGUGUUGGAUUAUUUUUUAUCUCAUCUAUUGAAACAAUAAUUUUGUGGAGAAUGAUAUAUCAGAUAUGUAUUAUACAUAAUAUUUUUUUCCGAUGAUUAAAUAUAUGAAAAUGUAAAUUUUUAUUGGCGUUAAGACAUACGACAUGUAUAUUUUAAAUACAUGUAGAAGAACACAGAGAGAAAAGCGUAAAAACAAAUAAAUUCAUUUAUACGUAAUAUAUGUAAAUACAUUCAGGAUUGAGAAUGUAUCCUUAAACGUUAGUCCUGCCGUGCGCGCGAUGCAAUAAGCAAACUGCUAAUUACAAACGAUUUAGGUCGAUUAGCGCUUACUAAUCGCGUGCAUUGAAGGUCGUACCAAAGCAAUUUUAUUCCAUGUCUGCACUUUGAGGCGAUAAAAUAAGAUCUUAAUCGCCGAUUUCUAUUUUGGAUUGUUAUUGGAUUGA